CAAAGGUAGCAUAAUCACCUGUCUAUUAAUUGUAGACCAGCAUGAACGGCAAAAUGAAGGCCUAGCUGUCUCUUAUAGUAAAUCAAUUAAACUGAUCUCCUAGUAAAAAAGCUAGAAUAACCACAUAAGACCAGAAGACCCUGUGAAGCUUAAACUACACUAUUAAACCUAAUAAUAACUACUUUCGGUUGGGGCGACCUUGGAAAAAAAAAGAACUUCCAAACAAUGACUAUAAACCAUACAUCGGCCCACAAGCCUACACCGACCCAGUAAAACUGAUAAUCGAACCAAGUUACUCCAGGGAUAACAGCGCCAUCUUCUUCAAGAGCCCAUAUCAAAAAGAAGGUUUACGACCUCGAUGUUGGAU
rnacentral:rRNA from 1 species